CACUUCUAAGGAAGGCAGCAGGCGCGCAAAUUACCCAAUCCUGACUCAGGGAGGUAGUGACAAGAAAUAACAAUAAACCGGCUUAUACCGGUUUAAUUGGAAUGAGUACAAUUUAAACAUCUUAACGAGGAACAAUUGGAGGGCAAGUCUGGUGCCAGCAGCCGCGGUAAUUCCAGCUCCAAUAGCGUAUACUAAAGUUGUUGCAGUUAAAAAGCUCGUAGUUGGAUUUCUGUGGGGACGGAGCGGCCGGCCGCAACACGCGGUUCGAGCUAGCGCUUUCCCUACAUCCUGCCGCGAACCGUGCUACCAUUAGUUUGGUGGCGCCGGGGAUCGGCUCGAUUACUUUGAGAAAAAUAGAGUGUUCAAAGCAGGCCACACGCCUUGAAUAAGUUAGCAUGGAAUAAUAACUAAGGACUUCGGUUCUAUUUUGUUGGUGUUCGGGACUGAAGUAAUGAUUGAUAGGGACAGUUGGGGCGGUCUGUAUUCCAAAGCGAGAGGUGAAAUUCUUAGACCUUCGGAAGACAAACAGCUGCGAAAGCGUUCCGCAAGGAUGUUCCCUUUGAUCAAGAACGAAAGUUGGGGGAUCGAAGACGAUCAGAUACCGUCGUAGUCUCAACUAUAAACUAUACCAGCUAGGGAUCGGCCAACGUUAUUUUAUACCGACUUGGUCGGCACCUUAUGAGAAAUCAAAGCAUCUGGGUUCCGGGGGGAGUAUGGUCGCAAGGCUGAAACUUAAAGGAAUUGACGGAAGGGCACCACCAGCCGUGGAGCCUGUGGCUUAAUUUGACUCAACACGGGAAAACUUACCAGGUCCAGACAUAGUAAGGAUUGACAGAUUGAUAGCUCUUUCUUGAUUCUGUGGGUGGUGGUGCAUGGCCGUUCUUAGUUGGUGGAGUGAUUUGUCUGGUUAAUUCCGUUAACGAACGAGACCCCAGCCUGCUAAAUAGCGCGCAUGAGCUUUGCUCGUGGCGAGCUUCUUAGAGGGACUAUGAUGCGCGAUAGCACAUGGAAGUUUGGGGCAAUAACAGGUCUGUGAUGCCCUUAGAUGUUCUGGGCCGCACACGGGCUACACUGGCGCCUGCAACGAGCAUAUCAGCUGGCCCGAGAGGGUCUUGGCUAAUCUUUUGAACCAGCGCCGUGCUUGGGAUUGACCUUUGCAAUUGUUGGUCAUGCAACGAGGAAUGCCUUGUAAACGCGAGUCAUCAGCUCGCAUUGAAUACGUCCCUGCCCUUUGUACACACCGCCCGUCGCUCCUACCGAUGAAUGUUCCGAUGAAAUUUUCGGAGAGCACCUGUGAACUUGGCUCUGCCUUGCGAACGGGAGGCUCAAAGUCACUUAAAUCUGAACAUU
rnacentral:rRNA from 1 species